GGUUACAUGACUUGGUCAGGGUCACACAGCUAGGAAGUAGGACUGAUUCCAGGCCCAGCGUUCUAUCUCUGGGCCACCCACCAUCUUAAUCUCAAAGGAGGCAAGAGAAUCCACGAUUGCCAAAUUACUUAUAGCCUCAGAGGCCAGGCCUUAAGUGUCCUUAUUUCAUUUUCCCACCAGCUCUUGGGUCUUCUUGGGACAGUGUAGAUGAUAUGGUCAGUACUCAUUGAUGCAGAGGGAAUGAUUGGUACCAAUAGGAUUCUUCUUUUAACUGAUACUUCUUAAUCUCUACCCAGGAAAGUUGGGGGAAGGGCUAAGAUCCUUGGAGACCUUUGAGAGAAUACUUAUUUUCUUAACCAGAGAUUUCCAGUCUGAACUUUUUUCAUUAGACAUUCAUCCAUAAGGAAAAAUCCCUUUUUUCCAACCCUCUUCCUGUCCCAAAGAGGCGAUCUGGAUCUUAAAGAAGGCGAGUAUAACUGUGCUGUUCCCUUGCAAAAGACUUUAAAGACUCUAAAUAAUAGCAGCAUGAUCUCCUUAGGACAAGCCUCUCUCCUCUCCACUUUUACCCCAUCCAUCUCCUCUUCCUGGUUCUUUCCUUUCAUGUCACUACCCCUUUUUUUUUUUAUUCCCCCUUUAUCUUCUCCUCCCUUUCUCCCUCUCUCUCAGCAAGUUUUUUAUGUGAUUACAGGCACUGCAUGGUAAUUAGUGCUAAACUCAUUUGCACAACUACAGUUAAUUGGCUACAACAAUUAAUUAAUGUGUUGGAAAUUUGGCACUGGAAAAAAAAAAGUUUGUCAUAAAAAAAAAAAGCAAAAAAAAAAAAAGUAGAAUGAAAUGCCCAUAAAAAUCUAGGGCAGGCUUCAAAGGCCCAGCUGGGCCUCAGACUUGAGGCUGGCCUUUUCUGCCACCUUCCCACGCUCAACUCCAACAGCAUUCGGCCAUUCCCAUUUUUUCCUCCUUUCUUUCUCUUUCUCCCUCUUUUUUUUUUUUUUUUUUUUUUUUAACAACUUAAGCAAACUCAUUUCCCUGAUAAAAUAUAGCAUGACUAAUGGCUAGAGCAUGUAAAAAUCAUUGGGAAAAUGUCCUUGGAAGACGAAUGCAUUUUCAGCAGAAUAAUUAACUUAAUUAACAAAUUCACAUGCAUAUUCAUCAGGCUAUUAAUGUCUUCUCGGCUCAGCUUGAUGAACAUUGCGGUAAUAACCAUCUCAUUUACAUACUGCAUUCUACUGCGAUCCAAAACAGAGACAACAUACAGGCGUACACACGCGCGCAUGCACACACACACACACACACACACACACAAGUACGGGCACACACACAACAUGUGUGAGUCAGUCUAGACUCCAGGGUGAUUGGGAAUGUGGGAGAUUGCACAGGCACCUGGCAGGGGAUUGGGUGGAACCCUGCGAGAGUGUGGUCUGCGGAGAGUCAUUGUUGAGGGAGCCUGGGGGGCCGGUAGGGGCGGGGGGAGUUCACAAGCAUUUGUGUCUGAGAGAUCAAGAGAGAACUUUCAUCAUGCUCUGUCCCUGUCUCUCCGUCUCUCCCUUUCUUCCUUCUCUCCUUUUCUCCCUCCCUUUUCCUCUCCCUCUCCUCGCCCCCCCCCUCCAUCUCUCUAGGGAAAAACUUGGUAUCUGUGCCAACUUUCUUCCCCCCUUCCCUCCCUCCCUCCUCUCCUCCUCUUUCCCCCCGCCCAACUGCUGCCAGCCGGCGUCAGCGCCGAAUUGCCAUCUCCCUCAGCUCUCUGUGGAGCAAUCUUGAGGAGCAGUAAGGUGUGACGCUGGGCUCUGCCGGCUUCGCAGCACCGCCUGCGGAAAGAGCGCAGGAUGGAGGAGGAAGAUUAAGAGAAAUCGCGAGCAGGGCUCUGCUGCCAUUGGUGUGUGCAAGCGCCGAGGAGGAAGGGAGAGUGAGAGAGCGAGAGAGAAAGGGAAAAAAAAAAAAAACCACAGCAGCUGUCGGCCUAAUUCUUCUAACACUCUGCUUGUGGUCAUAUUAGAAAAACAGAUUAUGCCCCUCGGUGCCACUCACUUAUAUUUGACAUACGUUAAUGUUCUAUAUCUUCAUUCUCCCGUCUCCACAGUGCUGGACUUUGGGUUCGGGGGCCUGGGGCUGGCCGAGCCAGAAGGCCACAGGAGAAGCUGCCCAGUGCCCUCUCCUCCCCCUCUGCUUCCCAAAAUGCCCCCCCCCCCAGAAAGGAAAAGCACCAUGUCUAUCUUUGUAUCUGAUGCUCCUGUUUCCUCCCUGCCCCACCUCCACGAUGGUGUCUUUGUAAGGAGCUCUUCGUGUGCCCUCCAACAAAGCAUCCUCCCUCCUCCCUAAAGGGUCCACCUUAGGACCUGCCAAACCCAACUGAAUUCUGGGGCAUCCCGUUUUACCUUGGCGCCUCCCUUUCCUAUUCAGGAGGAGGAAGGACGAUAGGAAAGGGUAAUUCUAAGAAUGCACAUCCCAGAGUUAGGGAGGAAAGACACCUAAGGACCCCACAGGUCAAUCUAGGAGUGUUUCUGAGUAGCUAUGGAAACCAGGUUACCCCAUCACUACCAAUCUUGAAGGAAAAUAGGGGUGCAGCCUGUUAGGGUCUUUUCUUCCUAGCCCCCAAGCUGGAAAAAAUGACUAGACUUUAGAGCAACCAGGUGGCACUGUCCUUGUACCUGUCCCUCUCUGGCCCCAGUGGGUGCCCCUGCCCCUUCUCUGUUUUUCUAAUGUUCAUUUGAUGGCGCCUUGUUCCACACUGUGUGCCUUGUCCUCUUCUGAGACCUGUUGCUUAGCAACCACUAGUACCUUCUUUCUAAUAACUCACAGGGACCAUGAGAUACAUCUAUGUCUUUAUCCCUAUUCCCUCUCCCCACUCCGACUAUUUAUUGUUAAUAAUCAAAGCCUCUGCUUCAGGUUCACGUGGCAUUGUUUUCUCAGAAGGUAUUGAUAGACAUCAGCUUGUGUGCCCCCCAAAGGGUGGAAGGUAGACUUAAACUAGGAAAGAAUGAGUUUAAAACUAAGAACUUUCCAAAAGAGUAGGGUGGAAAACGCCAAAGAACAAGAUAUUGGGAAGAUCUAGAAGCAGUUUCUUGGGGUUGUCUCCAAAUGGGCUGCAGUUCAUACAAAUCUUCACAAAUUUCUCUGAAUCCUUUAUAUUUGUAAUCUCUUUUUUGUCUGAACCUGAGAUUUUCAUUGGUAAAGGGAAUUCUCAGUAGGAGUAGUGAAGGCUUUAUUUGGCUACAGUGAGUAAACUCAAGUCCUCCUGGGGUUGCUCUCUAACUCCUGAAGUAAUUCCUCUCGGUCCUUCACCAUUCAAUAAAAAUCUGAUUCUAUUUCUGGUAGCUGGGGUACAUACAGAAGUAGGGAAUUCUUCAGUCAAGGUGGAAGAAGAUCUGACUUCAGGGUUGAAAUGAAGAUGACUUGAAAAGUUCUCAACAGUGGGAUUAGUUCUAACUAUCAGGCCUGUUCUUUCCUAGUCUCUCUUUUCCUUCACUUCUACCCUUCUACUCUGUCUCCAUCUAAUCUACCACCUGGUCUUUGAUCUGUUGCUAUAGAGACCACCUCUUCCCCACUGCCCCCAGGAAUCCUAAGAGAAGUUAAGACAUUGCAAAUGAGGGAGCAAAGCCAUGCUUGAAGAAUCCAAUGGUCAUUGGGCCAGCAUCUUUCUGCAAAGAAGAAAAAAGAAUGCUUCAUUUUUCAGCUCUCUGAAGUCACAUUUUGAUCAGUCUGGAUAUCUUUCAACAUUGUUUUCCUUGUGGUCUCUGGGUAGAUUGCUGCUCCUGGUUCAUCAAUUCAUACAAGUCUUCACAAAUUUUUCUGAA